UGGGGAAUAUUGCACAAUGGGCGCAAGCCUGAUGCAGCCAUGCCGCGUGUGUGAAGAAGGCCUUCGGGUUGUAAAGCAAUUUCAGCGAGGAGGAAGGGUAGUGUGUUAAUAGCACAUUGCAUUGACGUUACUCGCAGAAGAAGCACCGGCUAACUCCGUGCCAGCAGCCGCGGUAAUACGGAGGGUGCAAGCGUUAAUCGGAAUUACUGGGCGUAAAGCGCACGCAGGCGGUUUGUUAAGUCAGAUGUGAAAUCCCCGCGCUUAACGUGGGAACUGCAUUUGAAACUGGCAAGCUAGAGUCUUGUAGAGGGGGGUAGAAUUCCAGGUGUAGCGGUGAAAUGCGUAGAGAUCUGGAGGAAUACCGGUGGCGAAGGCGGCCCCCUGGACAAAGACUGACGCUCAGGUGCGAAAGCGUGGGGAGCAAACA
rnacentral:rRNA from 1 species